UACGAAGGGGGCUAGCGUUGCUCGGAAUCACUGGGCGUAAAGGGUGCGUAGGUGGCGCGCUAAGUCAGGUGUGAAAUUUCGGAGCUUAACUCCGAAACUGCAUUUGAUACUGGCGUGCUUGAGGACUGGAGAGGAGACUGGAAUUCACGGUGUAGCAGUGAAAUGCGUAGAUAUCGUGAGGAAGACCAGUGGCGGAAGGCGGGUCUCUGGACAGUUCCUGACACUGAGGCACGAAGGCCAGGGGAGCAAACGGG
rnacentral:rRNA from 1 species